rnacentral:rRNA from 1 species
UCCCUUAGAUGUUCUGGGCCGCACACGCGCUACACUGAAGGAGGCAGCGUGUACUCCUGGAUCGAAAGAUUUGGGUAACCCGCGAAUCUCCUUCGUGCUAGGGAUUGAGGUUUGCAAUUAUCCUUCAUGAACGAGGAAUUCCCAGUAAGUGCAAGUCAUAAGCUUGCGCUGACUACGUCCCUGCCCUUUGUACACACCGCCCGUCGCUACUACCGAUUGAAUGAUUUAGUGAGGACUUCGGACUGGGACCGAUGCGGCUUUCGGGCUGCGUCGGUAUUCUGGAAAGAUGUCCAAACUGUAUCAUUUAGAGGAAGUAAAANUCGUANCA